rnacentral:lncRNA from 1 species
CGUAUGAUCAGUGAGAGCCUGAAAUGAAAUGGGGAUGCUUUUAUCACUCUGUGGGUCUCUCUAUUCAGUGCAGGCUCUGUGGAUCCUGUGUGAAUCUGUCCAUCACCUUGAAUGUCUGGCGAUCUUGACACCACGCUUCAUGGCCAGGCUGGACCCUCUACUAACCGCUGAGGUUUCACUGCUUGCUUCUGACCUCAGAGGACCUCUUCAUGCCAUCCAGACACCUUCACCUCCAUUGCGAAUUCCUGAUAUGCUGAUUUUCGUGGUUUCUUCCUCUACCUGUACAUCCCUCCACACAUCCUACCUCUGAUCCAGUGUCUAUAUACCUACCAUCCUUUUGUACAGAGACUCCAGAGUCAGAAAUGCUAUCAGCUGCCUGUAAAGCUGGUGGGCUUACAGUGUGUGCGUGUGCGUGUGCGUGUGCGUGUGCGUGUGCGUGUGCGUGUGCGUGUGUGUGUGUGUGUGUGUGUGUAAAGAGAUCAAGGGAUCGAGAGACUUGCCCAAGGUUGCAUAAUGUACGAGUGAGGAAAUGAGUCACAUCUCCUCACGGCACUCCAUGUAGAGUGAACAUCUCUGUUAUAUUAAUUUGAAUAUGAAUUUGAAUUUGAAUAUGAAUGUUAUAUAAUUUGAAUAUGCUUGGCCCAUGGGAAGUGCUACUAUUAGGAGGUGUGGCCUAGUUGGAGGAAGUGCAUCACUGGGGGGCAAGAGCAGGAGGAUGGGGCGGGGAGGCUUUGAGAUCCUCUGCUUAAGCUCUGCCCAGGGAAGAAAGUCUCUUGGCUGCCUUUGGAUCAAGAUGUAGAACUCUCUUGGCUCCUCCAGCGCCAUGGCUGCCUGGAAGCUGCCAUGAUGUCAAUGGACUGACCCUUUAAACUGUAAGCCAACCCCAAUUAAAUGUCUUUCUUUAUAUGAGUUGCCUUAGUUAUGA